UGUGAUAUCUCAAACAUAGACUGAAACAAUUAUUACUUCUCUGUCUCAAAUUGAAUUCUAACUCAUGUAAAUGAUGAUCAGUUAUUCGCAAGCAUUAAGUCCAGAAUGAGAUACUCAACAAUUGAACAAAUACCAAUUAAUUCAGGUAAAGAAGGAAUCACAUAAUCAUAAUUAGGCUAAAUCACAAACUCUAGAAGGUAGAAAUUAAUUCAUACUAAAAUGAAGAAAAACUUAAUUAAAGAGUUUAACAUAAACAUUAAGAAACUGAAAGAGAUUGGAAGGGAAAAAAAAAACUCUGUAAAUAUGGUCUGCAGUUUGCUUGGUGUAGCUUACUCCUCUUGAUAGCCAAAAAAAAAGAAGAGAAAGAAUCGAUCCACCUUGCUUUCCAGGCUCCUUUGUCGAAAAUCCUCUUUUUCCCCCUCUUAAACUCCUUAUACUUGCUCUCUUUCAAGCCAUCUUCACAAGGAAAGAAAAAAUCAAUCCCGAAUUCGCCUCGUCAAUUCGUCAUAUUUUCAGCCUUGGAUUGGGAGCCAUUUUUCAUUUGGAAAACGUGGGAAUUUCAAAAUCUCUAUUUCAGGAGAAAUUGUAGCACGUUAAAUUAUCUUUCCAAGGCCUCUUGAAUCAGCUCAAUAUGACAUCGUAUGAGGGAGAUAUGGUGAAAAUACUAAAGACAGUGCAGAUAGCUUCCAAUUCGAGAUUUCUUCACGGCCGAGAGACGUCUUCCACUGAUUUGCUCCCUUCAUUAAUCAUUCCAAUCUAUUUUCUUUUGAUUGGGCUGGGUCAAGCCCACUUGAAUUGAGUCCUCUCUUAUGGGCCUUGAGCUUUUGUUAAUUUUGGGCUUCAUUUCUACAUUAAAAUUGUAAUCACCACAAUUACGAUUGGCCAUCAUUCAACUAUAAAAAAUUAUCAUUAUUCAUCCCAAAUAUACUAAUAUAUUAGCAAAUAAUUAUGAGCAAUCAGCAUUAAAAAUGCAAUCGUAUGCACUCUAUCAAAAAUACAUAAUCUUCACACAAGAAAGAUGCUAGGAAGUGAUUGUAAGCCAACUUUUGAGAGAAUUUACAUCGAGGAAUGAAAAAUUCACCGCUUGUAUCCGGAUUUGAAGGUACAGAGGUAAUGAAGGUUGAGAAAAAUUGCCACUCAAAUAUAUGGAAAGAAUAAUUGUCUGCGGGGAAAAGAAUGAAAUAAGAAAAUUGAUCUCAUGAUAGGAUGCCAACUAAUGGGAACUCAACCAUUCUAACCACUAACCCACUUAGGAUCAAAAGGUCACUAAGAAGGUUGUAAUAGGACUGGGGUCAAAUUAAAAGGAAGGAUAAGAGGAUUAAAGAAGAAUAUUAGCUCUCAAGUAUAUAUUGAGGGUCUUUAUCAACUUGUAGACUUAAGGGUUGUCUGGUACCCCUUUUUCCACCAAGUGGGCCCCACAUGUGAGACAUUUGGCCAAAUUAUACGACUGCAAUUGUGUCCAAUGGUAAAAAAAGCAAUUUUUUUUUUUACCAAAGAAGCUGCUCCAAACAGGGGCUUAACGUGACUUCCCACAAUAUUAUGUUAUUCUUGUUGUGCUUCUUCUCAGUUCAAAACACUUAUUUUCUUCUUCCCUUUUUUUUUUUUUUUUUUGUUGGAUGUUUUACAACAACACACUCGCUUCAAAGUAUUUUUUAUACCCUUUCUUCAUUCAUUUCUGAUGUUCAUUUUUUUUUUAAUUUCAACAACAUAUUCCCCAUACCAACCUCCAAUGUGGAGUGAGCGAGGAAAUAAAUGGCUUAACAACGACCUGGCCCAAAUUUAAGCUUAAAGUGGCUUCUAUUAGAUGAAACAUGGGUUGGCUUGAAAAGCUUAAACUAUAUGCUAAAUUGACCUUCAUCAUUUCCUGAGUAUAAUCAAACCAACAUACCACAAAUCGUAUAAUGGCAUUCCCAAUAGUCAAUCGAAUUUGGAUAAUAAUGAGAUCAUUAACGAGACAAUGCUGAAGGUAAUAUUAAGAAUAUGAUAACAUUUCUCUCAAAAAAUGAGAACAGCCCAAUUGCUCACAAGUGUAAAAGGUUGCAACUUAAAUCUAAGUGUUCUAUAAUUGUAUGAGUUUCACAUCCAUCAAACCACAUGAGCUUAGCUAAAGUGCAUGAACAGAAAAAAUUCUGAGGUGUUUCAAUACCUUACUCAAAUAGC
rnacentral:lncRNA from 1 species